rnacentral:rRNA from 1 species
AAAGAAAGUAACCACGAUUCCGUGAGUAACGGCGAGUGAAACCGGAAUAGCCCAACUUGAAAAUCUCCCUUUGGAGAAUUGUAGUCUAUAGAAGCGCCCUCUGUGGCGGUCGGGGCCCAAGUCCACUGGAAAGUGGCGUCAGAGAGGGUGAGAACCCCGUCGGCCCUUGGCUUAGCUGCUCCACGAGGUGCUUUCCACGAGUCGGGUUGUUUGGGAAUGCAGCCCAAAAUGGGAGGUAAAUCCCUCCUAAGGCUAAAUACUGGCGAGAGACCGAUAGCGAACAAGUACCGUGAGGGAAAGAUGAAAAGAACUUUGAAAAGAGAGUUAAAAAGUGCUUGAAAUUGUUGAGAGGGAAGCGAUUGGAAGGUGUGAGUGCGCCCAGGCUUAUGCCGCUCUCACGAGCGGCUGUAUGUGCUGGGUGCUGGUCAGCAUGGGUUGACCGGGCGGGCCAACAGCGGGGGUUGCUACCCCGUCUAUGCCGCCUGGUCGAUCAAGGCGUGAAUGGUGCUUCGCCCUCCGGGAGCUGCUCCAUCAAGAUGCUGGCAGAAGCCUUUCAAUCGGCCCGUCUUGAAACACGGACCAAGGAGUCUAACAUGUAUGCGAGCUGGUGGGUUGCAAACCCAUGAAGCGCAAGUAACCUGACUGGUGGGAUGGCCUGUGCCUGCACCAUCGACCGACCAUGAUCUUCUGUGAAAGGUUUGAGUGCGAGCAUACCUGUUGGGACCCGAAAGAUGGUGAACUAUGCCUGAGCAAGGUGAAGCCAGAGGAAACUCUGGUGGAGGCCUGUAGAUGUGCUGACGUGCAAAUCGCUUUUCUGACUUGGGUAUAGGGGCGAAAGACUAAUCGAACCAUCUAGUAGCUGGUUUCCUCCGAAGUUUCCCCCAGGAUAGCUGGAGCUCGUUAUUGUGUUACGUCAGGUAAAGCGAAUGAUUAGAGGUUCGGGGGAUGAAACAUCCUUCACCUAUUCUCAAACUUUAAAUAGGCGUGAAGCGUGGGAUGCUUGACUGAUCCCACGCAAUCAAACUGAGUUCCAAGUGGGCCAUUUUUGGUAAGCAGAACUGGCGAUGCGGGAUGAACCGAUAGUUGAGUUAAGGUGCCCAACUACACGCUAACCUAGAUCCCACAAAGGGUGUUGAUUGAUAUAGACAGCAGGACGGUGGUCAUGGAAGUCGAAAUCCGCUAAGGAGUGUGUAACAACUCACCUGCCGAAUCAAUUAGCCCCGAAAAUGGAUGGCGCUGAAGCGUGUGACCUAUACUCAACCAUUGGGGCAAGUGCGAGGCCUCAAUGAGUAGGAGGACGUGGGUGUCGUUGCGCAGCCUGAGGCGUGAGCCUGGGUGAAACGGCAUCUAGUGCAGAUCUUGGUGGUAGUAGCAAAUAUUCAAAUGAGAACUUUGAAGACUGAAGUGGAGAAAGGUUCCAUGUGAACAGCAAUUGGACAUGGGUUAGUCGAUCCUAAGAGAUGGGGUAAUCCUGUAUCAAGAGCGCGAUCCGCGCUGCCCAUCGAAAGGGAAAAGGGUUAAGAUUCCCUUACCUGGACAAGGCGGCUGACGGCAACGUAAGCGAGCCCCGAGACGCCGGGACUGGCCCUGGGAAGAGUUCUCUUUUCUUUUUAACAGCUCGAAGGCCCUGGAAUCGGAUCAUCCGGAGAUAGGGCCCAGCAGCUGGUAAAGCACCGCACUUCUCGUGGUGUCCGGCGCGCCAGUCACGGUCCGUGAAAAUCGGGGGGAGCGGCUACCGAUCUUGCCAGGUCGUACUCAUA